rnacentral:tRNA from 1 species
AGUAAUAAUAGCUUAAAUCAAAGCAUUGGUCUUGUAAGCCAAAGAUGCACUAAUCUGUGCUUAUUACUA